rnacentral:rRNA from 1 species
UACGGGGGGGGUAAGCGUUGUUCGGAAUUACUGGGCGUAAAGGGCUCGUAGGCGGCCAACUAAGUCAGACGUGAAAUCCCCAGGCUUAACCUGGGAACUGCGUCUGAUACUGGUUGGCUUGAAUUCGGGAGAGGGAUGCAGAAUUCCAGGUGUAGCGGUGAAAUGCGUAGAUAUCUGGAGGAAUACCGGUGGCGAAGGCGGCAUCCUGGACCGACAUUGACGCUGAGGAGCGAAAGCUAGGGGAGCAAACGGG